UACAGAGGUCCCAAGCGUUGUUCGGAUUCACUGGGCGUAAAGGGUGCGUAGGCGGUCGGGUAAGUCUGAUGUGAAAUCUCGCAGCUUAACUGUGAAACUGCAUUGGAUACUAUCCGGCUCGAGGAAUGGAGGGGAGACUGGAAUACUUGGUGUAGCAGUGAAAUGCGUAGAUAUCAAGUGGAACACCAGUGGCGAAGGCGAGUCUCUGGACAUUUCCUGACGCUGAGGCACGAAAGCGUGGGGAUCAAACAGG
rnacentral:rRNA from 1 species